GACGAACGCUGGCGGCGUGCCUAAUACAUGCAAGUAGAACGCUGAAGAGAGGAGCUUGCUCUUCUUGGAUGAGUUGCGAACGGGUGAGUAACGCGUAGGUAACCUGCCUUGUAGCGGGGGAUAACUAUUGGAAACGAUAGCUAAUACCGCAUAACAAUGGAUGACACAUGUCAUUUAUUUGAAAGGGGCAAUUGCUCCACUACAAGAUGGACCUGCGUUGUAUUAGCUAGUAGGUGAGGUAAUGGCUCACCUAGGCGACGAUACAUAGCCGACCUGAGAGGGUGAUCGGCCACACUGGGACUGAGACACGGCCCAGACUCCUACGGGAGGCAGCAGUAGGGAAUCUUCGGCGAUGGGGGCAACCCUGACCGAGCGACGCCGCGUGAGUGAAGAAGGUGUUCGGAUCGUAAAGCUCUGUUGUAAGUCAAGAACGGGUGUGAGAGUGGAAAGUUCACACUGUGACGGUAGCUUACCAGAAAGGGACGGCUAACUACGUG
rnacentral:rRNA from 1 species